UCCAUUUCCUAACGUUAUAUAAGUUUUUCUCUUUUAAUAGUCAUUUUGAGAAAGAACUUGUGUAGGCAACAGCCUUUCUGAUGUUAGCAAAGUUGAGUUAACUUCAUCAGAGAGGAGGAGAAUUUGUUGGCAAUCUUUGGGUAGGGUUAGAAUAUUAACCUGUUUAAAAUCUCCAUAAAACUUUUAUUUUCUAUCCAAGAGAUUACCAGCUAAUACACGCCUCUUAUGAUUGCCAACUAGUAACUUUGCUAAUGACAGGAAGACAUGUCGUCCUCACCACCAUUGUCGACUUGCCACCUAUCAUCACCACUGUUUUCACUGCACCACCACCUCUUCGCCUGACACGAUAGAUCUCAAAGCUGCAAAACUGAGGUUUUACUUUUCAGCGCUGGUAGCGGUUGUAUUUUUAUCUGAUCAUCAAACUCUCAAACUAUCGGUUCUGUACCGAUUUGACUCGGCCACUCCAGAACCCAAAACUGACACAGAUGAAUCGAAAGACGAAAUUUUGGAUCUGGGUCAUGACUGUCUGGUGAGAAGGAGCAAGUCUGAUAAGGUUGGUAGUGUUGUGGUUUGUCGCCGAUCUUCAUCUUCAUGUGGAUCUUCAUCUUCAUCGUUGAUCUGUUUUGGGUUUGGUGGUGGUUUUAUUUUUUUAUUUUUUCUUGCCAUGGGUUGUGGUUGUCACAUAGAGGUUGUUGCUAGUGGAGUAGUGGUGGAGAUGGAUGUGGCUGGCUGAAAGGUUUUUGUGGGUGGUUGUUAUUGGUUGGCAGUGGCUGUGGAUUGUGGCAUUUUAGUUUGUGGCAUUUUUUUAGUGGGAUGUAUU